AGUGACUGCGGAGGAUCAUUG
rnacentral:rRNA from 1 species